GGGGGCCCGCACAAGCGGUGGAGCAUGUGGUUUAAUUCGACGCAACGCGCAGAACCUUACCAGCCCUUGACAUGUCCAUGACCGGUCGCAGAGAUGUGACCUUCUCUUCGGAGCAUGGAGCACAGGUGCUGCAUGGCUGUCGUCAGCUCGUGUCGUGAGAUGUUGGGUUAAGUCCCGCAACGAGCGCAACCCCCGUCUUUAGUUGCUACCAUUUAGUUGAGCACUCUAAAGAGACUGCCGGUGAUAAGCCGCGAGGAAGGUGGGGAUGACGUCAAGUCCUCAUGGCCCUUACGGGCUGGGCUACACACGUGCUACAAUGGCGGUGACAAUGGGAUGCAAAAGGGCAACCU
rnacentral:rRNA from 1 species